AAUAAGUAAGUUUAUGGCAUAUCUUGCCCAUAUGAUGAGAUAAAUACUUUUUAAGGCAUGAAUCUGUAAUCUUAGAUGGGCACAAAAGAAAAUCAGAUUCAAGAACAAGAGCAUUAACAAGGAGUCCUUUCCAUAAAUUUAUGAAAAUGCCACAAUUGAACUUCGUAGUUUGUACUAUUACAGGUCUCCUUAUGGCCACAUUUGAAGUGAUGGAUUCGCCAGAGAAUCCUCCAUGAAUUAGCUUCGUGGA
rnacentral:misc_RNA from 1 species